rnacentral:rRNA from 1 species
GACGAACGCUGGCGGCGUGCUUAACACAUGCAAGUCGAACGGAAAGGCCCUGCUUUUGUGUGGUGCUUGAGUGGCGAACGCGUGAGUAACACGUGUGUAACCUGCACUUAACUGUGGGAUAUCUUUAGGAAACUGGGGCUAUUAUCGCAUAUGAUAUUCUGCUGCAUGUUGGGGGUUGGUAAGUUUCGGCGGUGGUGUAUGGACUCGAGGCUUACCGGCUUCUUUGUCAGGUAGUUGCGUACCAAGGUUAUGACGGCUAGCCGGCCUAGGAGGGUGGCCGGCGACAUGGGGACUAAGGUACGGCCCAGAAUCCUACGGGAGGCAGCAGUGGGGAAUAUUGCAGAAUGAGCGGACGCGUGAUGCAGCAACCCCGCGUGCGGGAUGACGGCUUUCGGGUUGUAAACCGCUUUCGCCUGUGACGAAGCGUGAGUGACGGUAAUGGGUAAAGAAGCCCCGGCUAACUACGUG